rnacentral:rRNA from 1 species
AUUGAACGCUGGCGGCAUGCUUUACACAUGCAAGUCGAACGGUAACAGGUUAAGCUGACGAGUGGCGAACGGGUGAGUAAUGCAUCGGAACGUGCCCGAUCGUGGGGGAUAACGCAGCGAAAGCUGCGCUAAUACCGCAUACGAUCUGAGGAUGAAAGCGGGGGACCGUAAGGCCUCGCGCGAUCGGAGCGGCCGAUGUCAGAUUAGGUAGUUGGUGGGGUAAAGGCCCACCAAGCCGACGAUCUGUAGCUGGUCUGAGAGGACGACCAGCCACACUGGGACUGAGACACGGCCCAGACUCCUACGGGAGGCAGCAGUGGGGAAUUUUGGACAAUGGGCGAAAGCCUGAUCCAGCAAUGCCGCGUGCAGGAAGAAGGCCUUCGGGUUGUAAACUGCUUUUGUACGGAGCGAAAAGGUUCUUUCUAAUACAAGGGGCUCAUGACGGUACCGUAAGAAUAAGCACCGGCUAACUACGUGCCAGCAGCCGCCGUAA